AAGAGGUGUUAAGAAGUGAUCUAUGUUGGUGUCAAAUAUGCUGGGUAUGUCACCAGUUCCCUGUUAAUUAUUUACUGGAUAUGACAGACAAAAUAUUGUAUGUUCCUAAAAUGUUUCCAGAUUCUUCCUAGGUCCAUAGGAAUAUUCUCUUUCCCAGGCCCUGUACAUCUCCACUGGCUGCGUGGCUAGUUGUAGUCAUAAAGCUUGGGGAAAAGUAAGGUCAUCACUUCCAAGUUUCUUCCCUUCAUCCUGUUUUUGUUUGCAGCUGGAUAAAUACAGAGGACCCAGGAGAGGACACCACAAUGCCCUUGGGAGUCAGUGAAGACGAUGUGCAGUUGAUCUCCUGCCAGCCUAAGAUACCCUUGGAGCCUAAGUGAGAAACAAAUCUUCAUUGGGUGAAGCCAUUGAAAUUUAAGAGUUGAUGUGUUACUGAAGCUUAGCUUGCCUGACCUGACCAAUAUAUCUACCUCUAAAUAAAUAAGACACUUUGAGAAUGAGGGAGCAAGAGCGCACAAAGAAAAUACAAAAUUUCAUGCGGUGAUGCUAAUAAAAUCUGAUUCUUCAAUCCUCACCAAACUUGUUUCCUUGAGGCAAAAUGAAGCUUCUGCUUGCAAUGUUCUGCCUAACUUACAGAGGAUAUCAUACCAUAUGAAAGGCCUUAAAAUGUACAGAAGAGAUAACUUUUUAUUAUAGAGCAUAUAUAAACUCUUCAAGAAUAUAGAAUUAAUGACUAAGUUAUGAGGGGCGCUCUGUCGAUGAUCAGAGUCAUGGGUAUCCAGGAUGAGCGAGAAAGGAUAGAACCUCCAGCUCGCAGAAGCCCACAUCUGAGGGCAGGCACGCCAUCCGCAGUACGCUGCCCUGAGAACCCCAGCUGAAUGGAGUGACAGACUGACAGUGCGUGGAGCAGUCUCUCGAAAUUCCUUCUGUGAAAACUGAAUGGAUCUAAAACAUCCUCACAUGUAGGGUUGUGGGCGCCAAACCAAUGAGUUGCUCAUGGAGCAACGUUCUCAAUUUAAAGCAUAGCAGCACAGCGAAUGCGUCUAAGUUCUUUAUGCUAAAGACAUCAUGGAUGUGAACGAUCCGCAAAGAAAUCCUAAGAACAAGGUUCCAUAGAGACUUGAAAAUGAACGUUGAAAAUGAACUAUAUGAACACUAAGGAGCAGGAAGGCCCUUAUGUACCUUGUAUUUCUCAAUGUGAACCAGCCUGUGGGGUCAACAUGGCAUCAAAGAGUGGUUUGGGGGCUCGUCUCUCUAUUCUGCUGGAAUUCUAGGUUCCUGCAAAACCUUUUCAAAUGAUUUGGGAACAUCUUCAGGGCAUGUGACUGCAGAAGGUCCCUUCAGUACUCUUAAAGUUACCCCUUUCAUUUUCCACUUUGACUUUAUCAUUUCUCAUUGUUAUCUCUGAAUUAUCACUGUAGCAUCUGCUUUUGAUUCUGAAGUCAGAAUCAGAAGUUGGUCACUGAUAUCUGCCAGUUAUGCCUUCGCCACUGUCCAACAAAAGAGGCACAAUUGCCAAUGCCCAGUCUAAUGAUGGCUGCUGCUGUCCAAAUGGAGUUGCUGAUGCCAGCUGAGAGUUGUUCUGAGUCUUCGCUUGUUUGAUAUCCAGAUCUCUCCGGCCGAUGCCAGAAUGGUUGCUGCUCAAAUCACAGGCAUUGUCUCCUGUUAUUACAGACACAUCUAUCACUUUUGCAGCCAAUGUUGCAAUGUUCCAAGGAUAUUGUUGUAAGUCACCUCUCUCAGUUUUUACUCUUUUUUUGUGGUAGGUCGAGUGAUGUUCCCAAGGUUUUUGGGUCCUGAUGCCUUGAGCCUGUAAAUGUUACUGUCUUUGGAAAAACGGUCUUUGCAAAUAUAAUGAAGUUAAGAUCUUGAAAUAGGAAGAUGAUCUUGGAUUAUGCAGGAAGGCAUGAAUGCUAUUUUCUAGCCUCCUUAGAAGAGAGAGGCGGGGGGUAUUUGACACACAGAAGAGGCCAUGUGAAGAGGAGGCAGAGCCUGCCAGCAGCUGCCAGGGGCCAGAAGAGGCAAGACAUGGAUUCUCCCUGAGAGCCUCCGGAAGACGUAUGGAUACUUUCAUUUCAACCCGGAGGUACUGAUUGUGGACUUCUAGUCUCCAAACUGAGAAAAGAUAGUUUUCUGGUCUAUGUUUUAAGCCACCGGUCUAUGUUUUAAGCCACCAAGUGUGUACUGAUUUGUUACAGCAGUUACAGAAAACUAGUAUUCUAAACUCUACACACAGUCACCUAGGCAUGGAUUGCUAUGGCCAGAACUGGGGAGAAGACAUAUUUGAUUACAGAUGGAAUGUUUGGUGAACCCAGGUGUCAGGCUAUAAAAGGGGAGACAUUUUCUGCUUCUUUUGUGAACAGAAAGUUAUUCUGGGAUUGAACUUGAGCCUAAUUACAACAUGAUGCAAACUUGGAAACUUUUCAAAGAGUGUCACCAAAUAUUAAUGAUAGGCAUCAAGUUUGGGUAC